rnacentral:rRNA from 1 species
CCGUUGUCUAGUUCUGAAAAGCUAUCUCUUACAGAAGGGAAGCCCUUGAGCCAAGAUGACAGCACAAAAUACAGAAGUCUAGUAGGUGCACUUCAAUAUUUAACACUUACAAGGCCUGAUAUCUCAUUUGCUGUCAAUAAAGUUUGCCAAUUCCUCCAUGCACCCACUACAGUUCAUUGGACUGCUGCAAAGCGCAUAGUCAGAUAUGUCAAAAACACUCUUAAUAUUGGUCUCAAUCUCAGCAAAUCUUCAUCUACACUUGUGAGUGCCUUUUCAGAUUCUGAUUGGGCAGGAUGCCUAGAUGACAGGCGCUCCAUUGGUGGUUUUGCAGUUUUCUUUGGCCCUAACUUGAUUUCAUGGUGUGCAAGAAAACAGGCCACAGUCUCCACAUCAAGUACAGAGGAAGAAUACAAAGCAUUAGCUAAUGCUACAGCUGAGAUUAUAUGGGUGCAGUCUAUGCUAAAGGAGCUCGGUGUGAAAAGUGCCAAGGCUCCCUGUUUGUGGUGGGAUAACUUGGGCGCCACAUAUUUGUCUGCU